GACUGAUGAUGAAGUGACUCUGGAAGACCUUAGCCGGGAAAAGCACCAUGUGGAGAAAAGGGGAAGGUUUGUCGGAGGAUUCGGAAGGGGCAGAGCCAGGGUAAAAGAGCACAGAGGAAACUGAAAUGGGUGCAGGGAGUUGGGGCGCUCAGUCGGGUCCCUUACGGACCUCCCGGUCCGCUCCGCCCUCCUCCGAGGAGGGGCGCUUCCCCGACAGGUCCCCCGGCCAGACUCUCGCCCCCCAUCACCCGGACUUUUCCGAGGGAAGAGGUCGCAUCCGGACGUUUGAUUCGAUCCGCACAGCUGGGGCCUCUCAUCCUAUCCCCCGACAACCCGAGACCAGAAAUGGAAUACAGAUGCAGAUAAACACCUCUCAGCAAAACUGGAGUCUCAGAAUUUGUUGUGAAACGCAAUCGGUCAGACUUAAGUAUGACUGGUGGGAGCCAAUCUGACGGAUCACGCCAAAACUCUAACAUCUUGGACGCUUCUCGGGAUGAAAUGAAGCACGUCAAGCUCAUGACUGCUCCAUCUGUUUCAGUGGCCCCGUCGAGGACCACCUCCCUCGGCCCUAAACUGCCUCGGGAGAUGGACGGUGAUAUGAAGCCAAAAGAAACUACACAAACAAAAAAUUCAACUUCCACCUGUGUUAAUAUUAAAAUGAAAAGAUACCCUUAUAUUUCACCUCGCAGAGUCGCACCUGGAGAGUUUCCGAUCCUCUACCAGUCUCGACUACGGGAGGGAGAGUCAGGCAGCGGCCUGUCCAUUCCAUUCCUAGCUUGGCCAGUGGCCGACGAGUGGAAGUCAACCUGCUGCAAGUCAAACUCACCUGCGUCGGGCAGCGGCGGCUUGGGAGGGUCGAGGCGAGACUCGGGUUUACCGCGCGGAAAGAGGCGACGGUAAACGGCUUCCGUAUUUUUACCAAGAAGACCCUGUGGAUACACUAUCGGAACAAUGGCGGACGGAGAGCGUGGCGUCCUGGGAGAGAUGUGUCCAUGGCGUCACUAAGGGUCAGACGUGACUUGACAGCAUAAAGACGACAAACCCUUACGUUUGCUAAAUAAAAAAACAACUGGAUUUCUGGCUUGAAGUGGUA